rnacentral:rRNA from 1 species
UACGUAGGGGGCAAGCGUUGUCCGGAAUUAUUGGGCGUAAAGAGCGCGUAGGCGGUCCGAUAAGUCGGCUGUGAAAGUCAGGGGCUCAACCCCUGAAUGCCGGCCGAUACUGUCGGGCUAGAGUCCGGAAGAGGCGAGUGGAAUUCCCGGUGUAGCGGUGAAAUGCGCAGAUAUCGGGAGGAACACCAAUGGCGAAGGCAGCUCGCUGGGACGGUACUGGACGCUGAGACGCGAAAGCGUGGGGAGCAAACAGG